rnacentral:rRNA from 1 species
AAUAGAUACCCGGGUAGUCCACGCCGUAAACGAUGAGUGCUAAGUGUUAGAGGGUUUCCGCCCUUUAGUGCUGCAGCUAACGCAUUAAAGCACUCCGCCUGGGGAGUACGGCCGCAAGGCUGAAACUCAAAGGAAUUGACGGGGGCCCGCACAAGCGGUGGAGCAUGUGGUUUAAUUCGAAGCAACGCGAAGAACCUUACCAGGUCUUGACAUCCUCUGACCUCCCUGGAGACAGGGCCUUCCCCUUCGGGGGACAGAGUGACAGGUGGUGCAUGGUUGUCGUCAGCUCGUGUCGUGAGAUGUUGGGUUAAGUCCCGCAACGAGCGCAACCCUUGACCUUAGUUGCCAGCAUUCAGUUGGGCACUCUAAGGUGACUGCCGGUGACAAACCGGAGGAAGGUGGGGAUGACGUCAAAUCAUCAUGCCCCUUAUGACCUGGGCUACACACGUGCUACAAUGGAUGGUACAAAGGGCUGCGAGACCGCGAGGUUAAGCCAAUCCCAGAAAACCAUUCCCAGUUCGGAUUGCAGGCUGCAACCCG